AACGGCUGGUUUGACCGCAGUUAUCAUAUCACAGUCAUUAUCUCGAGAUCUCAAAUUAAUUAUAUCGUUAUCUCGGGAAAACAAAGUUUCGUUAUCUCGAGAUCUCGAGAAAAUUAACUCGUUAUCACGGAAAAACGGAGGAAAUAAAAUGUAUGAAUGCAUGGCCCUUUAGGGCUUCCGUAGUACGGGGGUCUCUGAACAACUACGUUAUAUCCUAAUUAAAUCCCCUUUAAGACAACUUAAUUUAACUUAUAUUUUAGAUGUUUUUUGUUUAUAUGUGUGUAUAUCAGUCACAUCUGUAUAUAAAAAGCUGUACAUACACUCAAAAAACUGAUCCAAGCCUUCUUUGAUGUGACACAUUAAACUGUUGUUUGAUUUGCUGAAACAAAUCUAUUAAACACUAAACCGAUGUAAAUUGAAUUGUGGUAACGUAAUAGUUUCACCUUGACAUUCAUGAACUCAAAACAAAUGAGUUUCAUUUGAAUUGGGACCGCCCAUUGCGCAUGUGCGAAGCAGCGCGCUCUCAGCCUCCGUUCCUCCCGCUCCUUUUUCACUGACAACUUCUGCCAACGCUGCUGCGGGGUUUUACUCUACAGAGCCACGGAAAGCUGCUGUAAUUCCACUCCUUGUGCCAUGACAUCAACAUAAGGAGGGAGUGCAUCCUGAGAAGCCUUGUUGUCUAUGUCAGUGAAGACCCAGAUGUGUUUUUCAAGGAAUAUUUGUCCUCUGCAGCUGAGGAUGCAGAGAGGGACAUCACACCACAGUCAUGGGGAUUUACACAAUCCGAAGAGAUGGACAUGAAGAGCCAGAGGACGUGGGAGUUGUGAUUGAGGGCAUUAAAGUCCUCAACAAUGUUGGCAGCGUCAUCAUGGGGUUCAUCAUGCUGUUUGGGCUCAUUUAUGCCCUUGAUCUAGCCUUUCCCCAAAACCUCAAGUACACCUUCGAGUUUUUCCAGAAGAUCAUUAUGAACUUGGAUGGACACAAGCUGAAUGCAAAGAUACAGCAGCUGAAAAUAAGGCGCAAACACUGUGUCCACACAUUCAGUGACAGUCAGCAUGGAUGUUUUUCUUGUUAACUACUUGUGUAGCACAUCUUGAAGUGUGUUCCUAUGGAUAGGCUGUGACUGGACUCAAAGAAAUUCCUUUUUUUUUCUCUCACGUUUCAGGUUCUGUUUUGUACUUCUACCAUGUGUAUAGUAUAGUGAAACCAAAGUUUAUAUGUUUAAUGUGAGCUGGUUAUACCAUGCCUUAGCCUUUUCAGAUAUUGUACUUGUAUUAUUAUUGUACUAGCACUAAUACUAGUUACUUUGGUUGAAGCAGUUUUGAAGUCAGCGGAUUCAUUUCUUUUCUUUUCUAAAUAUGAUAGGUCAUACACUGUGUUCAUCAUAGAUAAAAAACUUAAAGAGAAGCUUAAAAAGCUAAGCUCUCAGUCAAGGUCAAAGUGCAUUUUGAACAGUUUAGUUUGAGAUUGGUGAAAGAAUUUCCAUGUUUUGUACUGUAGAUGUGUGUUAAAUGUGGUAUAUGUAUAUUUCAUUCCAGUAUUUAGGCACUACAUAGUGCAGUUAAUGGUAAAAAAAAUGUUCAGGGUUGGUCUGAACUGGUCAAAACAUGCCUUAGCUUUUCGGCCUGAAACGUGUAGCUAGGCUCUGAGGCAGUUUUUCUGUGUGUUUUGACACAAGUCAGUGACUGUCAUCAAUAUGUUGAUGAGUUCCAUGUUGAUGUUUUAUAUCUAUAUCUCUCUCUAUAUAUAGAUAUACAGAUAUAUAGAUAUUUGUAUGAGGUUUUAUUUGUUUUAAAUAAAAACAUAUUAACCAGA